UGGGUUGUUGGUGUUUCGGGGGGAGUUGCUGCUGUUGGAGUGGUUCUGGCUGGUUCUCAGCACCAACCUCACCAAAACCGUCUUGAAGCACUCAGCACUGGUGGGGUUUCACAUCUGAAGUCAAGCUUAGGGCUUGUGUGAAGGGCACAACAGGGAAUAUCUGCAGGAGCGGGAUCAACUGCUCGGAUUCGUGAGUGAUUUUAGGGUCAACGGCAAAGAAAGCAGGGCCCAUUCCCUUCUUUUUUUUUUAAUGCCCGUGUCUACCCUCAUGCUGCUGAGCAGGAUCCAGGGUGCUGCCCAGACACAGAGCUCUGGGCUUGACAGCUCACUGGGAAAACUGGAGGAGAAAAUCGUGGAAUUGCUGAGGUCGGAAAAGCCCUCCAAGACCAUCCAAGUUCAAGUGCUCCCCCAACACUGCCAAGGCCACCACUAACCCAUGUCCACGAGUGCCACGUACACAUGGCUUUUAAAUCCUCCUAGGAACGGGGACUCCAUCGCUGCCCUGGGCAGCCUGUGCCAGGGCUGGACAACCCCUUUCCAUGAAGGAAUUUUUCCCAAUAUCCAACCUAAACCUUCCCUGGCAUAACUUGAGGCCGUUUUUCCCUCGUUCCCUGGGCGCAGAGCUCCCCCCUGCUCCACCCACCUCUCCGGGGUGUGUGGAGAGCUCAGGUCCCCCCCCGAGCUCGGGCACGGACGGGGGGGUGAUCCCAGGACCCGCCCGGGAUCCCCUGGGAGCGCCCGUUGGGGCGGAGCCUCUUGGAGGCCCCGCCCAGGCCCCGCCCACCCCAUCACCGGUUUGGGGCCAAAACCGCCGGGACCGGGACCCGCCGCUGCCGCGGGACCGGAGCACGGGGAGCGGAGCAGAGCCCGCCGAGCAGAGCCCGCCGAGCCGCCGCGAUGGCCGAGGAGCUCAGUGACCUGCUCAGGGAGUUUGAUGAGGUGAUGGAGGACUUUGACCGAGGCCCUGCAUGUCAGUACCAGCAGCACCUGGAAGAGCUGAAGAGGAAAGUGGGACACAGCGUGUACGACAGCGGCAUCGAUGAGCUGGAGAGUGCCAGCACAUCCCCAGGAAGCAGCCUCAACUCCAGCGAGGAGCACCUCAACACCCCAGCUGACACUUACCCCACCAAAGCUAAGCUUGGUGACACGCAGGAGCUGGAGGAGUUCAUCGCGGACCUGGAUAAAGCCUUGGAGGGCUCUUUCAGCUGGGGCAGAAAUACAAAGGCUUAAGUGUGUUCCCUGUCUGCUGCCUCAGCUUCCUCCAGCUGAUGAGCUGGAGGUGCUGGUACCUGGGGAAGGGACUGAGGAUAUGAAGGCCAUGUUGGUCCUGGCAGUGAUACCCAACAGGACAACCUGCAGAGCUGUUGAUGUUUUUGGGAAGAUGCAGAGGUGCCUGUGGCUCUCUGCCUGCAGCCUCCCUCCAGCUCCUGCUUGGAGGCUGCUCUUUGCUUGAGGGAGAAAGAGAUGUGAGAUGUGGUUCGGGCUUUGGAGAGGAGGAUCCCCAGCAGCUGAGCCCCCCUCAUGCCUGCCUGAUGCACCCUCUGCUUCUGCACCCACUGCUGGCCUGGGGAUGGCUCCUGGGACCAUGCUGGGGACGGGGACAGGCGCAGGGACAGGCGGUGGGGACGGAUCCGGCCAUGGGACAGUGGUGGCAGGACCCUGCCAGCGCCGAGAGAGGAGAACCCGGGGUGGGCACUGGGCUCUGCCCUGCACGGGGGCUGGUGGCUCCUGGGACUGAGUGGGUUGAGGAGGUCUGUGCCACUGAUGAAGCCCUUGGAGACCCCCUGGGUGAUUUUGGGGAAGGACAUCAGUGUUACCUUGGUGUCCCCUCCAGAUUGGGAAAACCUGUUCCCCCAGUGGCAUCUGUCACAGGUGGUGGCAACCACUGCUGGCCCUUUGCUUUGCAUGGGGACCCCCAAAUCUGGCCCAUCCCUGCCCCCCAAGUGCCUCUGCCCCAGCUGCUGCUGCUGUAAAUACUGUAAAAAGGAUGUUUUGGGCUGUACAGAGAGAAUGUGUUUCUAUAAACAGGAUUUUAAGCCUC